rnacentral:rRNA from 1 species
AGAGUUUGAUCCUGGCUCAGAACGAACGCUGGCGGCGUGGAUAAGACAUGCAAGUCGGACGAGAUUUUCCGUUGUAGCAAUACGAUGGAAAGUCUAGUGGCGAACGGGUGCUUAACACGUGGGCAACCUGCCAGGAAGUGGGGGGAUAGCUCGCCGAAAGGCGAAUUAAUACCGCAUGUGAUUAGAGUGGACAUCCAUUCGAAAUUAAAGUCGGGGCAACCUGACGCUUCUUGUGGGGCCCGCGGCCUAUCAGCUAGUUGGUGUGGUAAUGGCUCACCAAGGCUUUGACGGGUAGCUGGUCUGAGAGGACGACCAGCCACACUGGGACUGAGACACGGCCCAGACACCUACGGGUGGCAGCAGUCGAGAAUUUUUCUCAAUGGGGGAAACCCUGAAGGAGCGACGCCGCGUGGAGGAUGAAGGUCUUCGGAUUGUAAACUCCUGUCAUUGGGGAACAAUGCGCAGAUAUUAACUGUAUUUGCGUUGAUAGUACCCGAAGAGGAAGAGACGGCUAACUCUGUGCCAGCAGCCGCGGUAAUACAGAGGUCUCAAGCGUUGUUCGGAUUCAUUGGGCGUAAAGGGUGCGUAGGCGGCGCGGUAAGUCGGGGUGUGAAAUCUCGGAGCUUAACUCCGAAACUGCAUUCGAUACUGCCGUGCUUGAGGACUGGAGAGGAGACUGGAAUUUACGGUGUAGCGGUGAAAUGCGUAGAUAUCGUAAGGAAGACCAGUGGCGAAGGCGGGUCUCUGGACAGUUCCUGACGCUGAGGCACGAAGGUCAGGGGAGCAAACGGGAUUAGAUACCCUAGUAGUCC